rnacentral:rRNA from 1 species
UACAGAGGUCUCAAGCGUUGUUCGGAAUCACUGGGCGUAAAGCGUGCGUAGGCUGUUUCGUAAGUCGUGUGUGAAAGACGCGGGCUCAACCCGCGGACGGCACAUGAUACUGCGAGACUAGAGUAAUGGAGGGGGAACCGGAAUUCUCGGUGUAGCAGUGAAAUGCGUAGAUAUCGAGAGGAACACUCGUGGCGAAGGCGGGUUCCUGGACAUUAACUGACGCUGAGGCACGAAGGCCAGGGGAGCGAAAGGG